CAUUUUCUUUCUUUCUCUUCUUCAUUCUUCUUUCUCCUUCUCUUUCUUUUUCCCUAUUUCUUCUUCAGUUAACGAUUUCGAGAAUCAGUUCAUGAUUCUGAGUUGAUGUAAAUCUGGCGGAGAUUGAGGUUAGAUGAUAGUGAUGUUGUCGUGAUUGUUGUUGAUUCAAAAUCGUCGGAGGAAGUAGAUCAGUGAGUUAGGGUUUCUGCAUGUUGUAUUGGAAUUUGAAUUGAUUAAAGAUUGAGAAGAUUUAUAUAGAAACUGAAGAUGGGUUUCGAGAGCUUGAGUAGAAGAAGAAGAUUGUUACGUUAAUUUGAAGAUUAGGUUUCAGAGAAGAAAAGUAAUUCGAUAAUUAGGGUUUGAGUGGAAUUGAGAUGUAAAUCGUGUUGCUGUUAGAUGAAGAAAAGAAGGGUUGUGGUUGAAUUGAAGUUCUGAAAUCGUUUUGGAGAUGAUCUGAGACUUGGGGUUUCUGAAGUUGAAUUCGAGAAUUCGAUUAAGGGUGAACAAGGAGAAGUUAGAAGAUGGGUUUUGUUGUUAUUCGAUGAUUGAUGGAAGCUGUGGUAGUUUGAUGAUUGAAUCAAUGAAUUAGGGUUUGUAAAGCAAAGUCAGUGAAGAUGAAUCUGAAGGUUUGAAAGAUGGAGAGGAUGGUCUAGGAGAUUCAUUAUAAUGGGUUAGAUAGGGUUUAAGGGAUAAGGUUGUAGAACAACAUGAAAGCAACAGUUAGAGUUUGAGGUUGUGAAUUAGAAGAGCAGAGAGGAGCAAAUAAGGGUGAUGUUGUUGUUGUAGAUGUUGUUGCUAACAGAUGGGAUUGAGGAAAAAGGUAAUCAAGGUUUAUUUGCUUAAGUUCAUUUAAUUUGGUUUAAUUGAUGAUAUCUGGAAUGGGUAUUGAAUUAAUGUUGGUUAUAAUUGGAGUGUUUUGAAUUGGUUGUAAUUGAGUUGUUUUGAGGAAGAUGGUUUGUGAAGCAGUUGGGUUUUGGUUCAUAUGAUGGAGAUAUUAUGCUUUAAGUGUAAUUGUUAGAGUUCUUAAAAUGUUUUCUUGUGGCUGUGUGUUAAGGAAUACAAGUUUGGCUGGAGGUUGAGUAUGGUUUAGAGAUUGUAAGGUUUGAAUUACAAUUGCAGGACUAGUAAUAUUAAUGGUGCUGAUGCAGGGUGGAUGUAAUUGUGUGAGUGGUGAUGGUGUUACAGUUCAUGGAGUUGCAGCCUCAUUGAAAUGGGUGUAUGAACUGUUGUAGGUGCAAGGGAGAAUUAAGUCUGGGUGUGUGUGAAAUCGGAACUUGAAAUUGGUAAUGUAAAUUGAAUUGGAAGUGAACGUGAAUAAAUGUGAUACAACUACUUGUGCAGGCAGUGUGUACAGGAUAUGGUUUUGUGUAAUGGCAAUUGAAGGUGGAGUUGGUAUUUGCAGCUGUGGAGGUUAUAUGAAUGAGUAGCUGCAAUGGAUAGUUAAUAAGGAGUGGCAUUCUUAGUUAAAUGGUUUUGAGUUGCACAUAAUGUGAACUGGUGGUGAUUAUAGAGUUACAAUUGGUGUUGGUAUUAAAGCUUGGAACUGCUAGGUUGCAGGUAAAGCUUAAAUUACUGAUGUUUUCAUGAAGUAAAGGUGUUGAUUAAUGGCAGUGAGAGUUUAAUUUGUGUUGCAACUUAAGCAACAUAGGGAUUAGUUAUAACUCUUAGAUUUUGUAUGUGCUGAUAGGAUGUGCAAGCUGAAGGAGAUUGUAAUGCUAUCAUGGCAGUGAUCUUAGUGAAAGGCUGCAAAUGCAGAUCAAGUGGAUCGUGGAUCUCGAGGUAGGCGUGGUUUGUCAUCAAAAGAGGAUACGGCUCCUUCAUUUACUGCUGAGGGACGAGUCACCAUAUUAUUAUCCGGGUGCGGGACGAGUCACCAUAUUAUUAUCUAGGUGCGGGGCGAGUCACCAUAUUAUUACAUUGUUUAGAAGGAAUUAGUUCCAUAUACAUGAUUGUUUACUUCUGUGAAAUUGGUUGCGUUUUUUAGGGAAAACAAGAAUUGUUUUCAAAUCAUUUCCAAUAACUGCAUGAAAGAUAAAUGUUAUUCCUUCGAGGCACCCAUUUUAGUGAUGAUGUGCUCACCCAUUUCCAAUUUCAGAGUCAGAUCAGAGAUGCGCAACGGAAGCUUCGAGGAGUUGAGUCUGUUAGUUGGUUAACUCCUGAUAUGUUUAUUAUGUUGUAUAUUCUCUUGUAAACGAAAUGACUAUUUUAUAUGUAUCAUUUGAGAGGAUUUCUAUAUGUAUAUAUUUCAGAGCGGGGCUAGUUUUGGGUUAAGUUUUGUAGCAGAUUUAAAUGAUUUAGAUUCUUAAUGCCUCUUUCUUUAGUUAAUCUCUUAUAGUCAGCUGCUAGCUUUGGGGGUGCUACAAUAAUAAUUUAUAUCAGCUGAUUCUGGGCAAAGAAAACGCCUAUUUUUUUA